AGGGACGAAAGCCAGGGGAGCGAAAGGGAUUAGAUACCCCUGUAGUCCUGGCCGUAAACGAUGAACACUAGGUGUCGGGGGAAUCGACCCCCUCGGUGUCGUAGCCAACGCGUUAAGUGUUCCGCCUGGGGAGUACGCACGCAAGUGUGAAACUCAAAGGAAUUGACGGGGGCCCGCACAAGCGGUGGAGUAUGUGGUUUAAUUCGAUGCAACGCGAAGAACCUUACCAGGGUUUGACAUCCUGCGAAUCCCUUGGAAACGAGGGAGUGCCUUCGGGAGCGCAGAGACAGGUGGUGCAUGGCUGUCGUCAGCUCGUGUCGUGAGAUGUUGGGUUAAGUCCCGCAACGAGCGCAACCCACGUCGUUAGUUGCCAGCAUUCAGUUGGGCACUCUAGCGAGACCGCCGGUGAUAAACCGGAGGAAGGUGUGGAUGACGUCAAGUCAUCAUGCCCCUUACAUCCUGGGCUACACACGUACUACAAUGCUACGGACAAAGGGCAGCAAGCUCGCGAGAGUUAGCAAAUCCCAUAAACCGUGGCUCAGUUCAGAUCGUAGGCUGCAACUCGCCUACGUGAAGGAGGAAUCGCUAGUAAUCGCAGGUCAGCAUACUGCGGUGAAUACGUUCCCGGGCCUUGUACACACCGCCCGUCACACCAUGGAAGUUGGCCACGCCCGAAGUCGUUACUCCAACCCUUGUGGAGGAGGACGCCGAAGGUGGGGCUGAUGACUGGGGUGAA
rnacentral:rRNA from 1 species